UACGUAGGGGGCAAGCGUUGUCCGGAAUCAUUGGGCGUAAAGCGCGUGUAGGCGGCUCGGUAAGUCUGCUGUGAAAGUCCAGGGCUCAACCCUGGGAUGCCGGUGGAUACUGUCGAGCUCGAGUCCGGAAGAGGCGAGUGGAAUUCCUGGUGUAGCGGUGAAAUGCGCAGAUAUCAGGAGGGACACCAAUGGCGAAGGCAGCUCGCUGGGACGUGACUGACGCUGAGACGCGAAAGCGUGGGGAGCAAACAGG
rnacentral:rRNA from 1 species